CGAGCGAACAGAUAAGGAGCUUGCUCCUUUGACGUUAGCGGCGGACGGGUGAGUAACACGUGGAUAACCUACCUAUAAGACUGGGAUAACUUCGGGAAACCGGAGCUAAUACCGGAUAACAUAUUGAACCGCAUGGUUCAAUAGUGAAAGGCGGCUUUGCUGUCACUUAUAGAUGGAUCCGCGCCGUAUUAGCUAGUUGGUAAGGUAACGGCUUACCAAGGCAACGAUACGUAGCCGACCUGAGAGGGUGAUCGGCCACACUGGAACUGAGACACGGUCCAGACUCCUACGGGAGGCAGCAGUAGGGAAUCUUCCGCAAUGGGCGAAAGCCUGACGGAGCAACGCCGCGUGAGUGAUGAAGGUCUUCGGAUCGUAAAACUCUGUUAUCAGGGAAGAACAAAUGUGUAAGUAACUGUGCACAUCUUGACGGUACCUGAUCAGAAAGCCACGGCUAACUACGUGCCAGCAGCCGCGGUAAUACGUAGGUGGCAAGCGUUAUCCGGAAUUAUUGGGCGUAAAGCGCGCGUAGGCGGUUUUUUAAGUCUGAUGUGAAAGCCCACGGCUCAACCGUGGAGGGUCAUUGGAAACUGGAAAACUUGAGUGCAGAAGAGGAAAGUGGAAUUCCAUGUGUAGCGGUGAAAUGCGCAGAGAUAUGGAGGAACACCAGUGGCGAAGGCGACUUUCUGGUCUGUAACUGACGCUGAUGUGCGAAAGCGUGGGGGAUCAAACAGGAUUAGAUACCCUGGUAGUCCACGCCGUAAACGAUGAGUGCUAAGUGUUAGGGGGGUUUCCGCCCCUUAGUGCUGCAGCUAACGCAUUAAGCACUCCGCCUGGGGAGUACGA
rnacentral:rRNA from 1 species